UUUUGAGCACCAUACCACUUUGAUCACACUAUUUCUUCCCAUUUUAGAAAUUAGGCCGGCUUGGACUUGGUUAAUAUUUAGUUAGGAAACCACUAGGAAGUACCAGUAAUCUCAAAGA
rnacentral:rRNA from 11 species